rnacentral:rRNA from 1 species
UACGUAGGGUGCAAGCGUUGCCCGGAUUUAUUGGGCGUAAAGAGCUCGUAGGCGGCUUGUCGCGUCUGCUGUGAAAACCCGAGGCUCAACCUCGGGCCUGCAGUGGGUACGGGCAGACUAGAGUGGCGGUAGGGGAGAUUGGAAUUCCUGGUGUAGCGGUGGAAUGCGCAGAUAUCAGGAGGACACCAAUGGCGAAGGCAGAUCUCUGGGCCGUAACUGACGCUGAGGAGCGAAAGCGUGGGGGAGCAAACAGG